rfam:Schistosoma mattheei strain Denwood, Zambia genome assembly, scaffold: SMTD_scaffold0000269
AUCCAGCUGAUGAGUCCCAAAUAAGACUAAAAGUGCAUCCUGGAU